rnacentral:rRNA from 1 species
GACGAACGCUGGCGGCGUGCUUAACACAUGCCAGUCGAACGGAAAGGCCCUGCUUUUGUGGGGUGCUCGAGUGGCGAACGGGUGAGUAACACGUGAGUAACCUGCCCUUGACUUUGGGAUAACUUCAGGAAACUGGGGCUAAUACCGGAUAGGAGCUCCUGCUGCAUGGUGGGGGUUGGAAAGUUUCGGCGGUUGGGGAUGGACUCGCGGCUUAUCAGCUUGUUGGUGGAGUAGUGGCUUACCAAGGCUUUGACGGGUAGCCGGCCUGAGAGGGUGACCGGCGACAUUGGGACUGAGAUACGGCCCAGAAUCCUACGGGAGGCAGCAGGGGGGAAUAUUGCACAAUGGGCGGAAGCCUGAUGCAGCAACGCCGCGUGCGGGAUGACGGCCUUCGGGUUGUAAACAGCUUUCGCCUGUGACGAAGCGUGAGUGACGGUAAUGGGUAAAGAAGCACCGGCUAACUACGUG